rnacentral:lncRNA from 1 species
AUCCACUUGGAAAAUGGUUACGCCAAGGGAAAAAUAUUAAAUUCAUAAUAAAUUUUAAAAAUGUGAUACAAAAUGAAUUUUUUAUGGUUUGUAAGAUUUAAGGUGCCUUUUCCCUUGUAAUAGAAGCUAUGUUUUUGCACAGAGGAGAAGUAUGGUAUUUUAUGAGAAGACAUGCUAUGAAUGAUGAAAGGCUCUAUUUCAGCAAGUCACAGGCAGAAAAGUCCAAAACAAUGGAAUAGAACUGCAGCAUUGUUGAAAGGUUUUACUCCCAUCACCCAGGUGGAGAGCAGCGGUGCAUUCACAUGAACCUUGAUUUUUUUGGCAUGUAAAAUGGGGUUAAUAAAAGUACCACUAGCUAUGAGAAUUAGAUGAGUAUUUUGUACAAUAUAAGACUCUACAGAAUAAUAGCACAGUAAGUUCUCCCUUAAUGUCAGGUUCUUGGAAACCAUUAAGUGAAAUGAUGUAUUACAAAGC